CAGGCGCGUGUGAAUCAGCACCGAGGUUCGCGGGUGUCUGCACGGAGCCCCGCACCUCGCGCAGGCGCCUGAAGAGCCCGAAGGCUACUGCACCGAGUCCCGGCGCUCGCGCAGGCGCGUGUGGAGCAGCCCCGAGGUUCGCGGGCGUCUGAGCCGAGUCCCCAGGGCUAACGCUGAAGCGUGUGGAGCAGCUCCCAGGUUCUCAGCGGCCCUCGCCGGGAGGGUGGCCUCCGCGGGCAGGCCGUGGGCCCUUCCUCAGGCUUCUGGAAGGCGGUCCUAUCUCACCCCACCCCCAACCCCCAGCUGCAGAUCCGCAGGGUCCGAGGCGCCCCCUUGGCUGCUUUCCCGCUGAAGGGUGGGCCAGGCCCUCGGCGUCCGCAGCAGGCCGGGCCCGGAAUGGAGGCGGCGUGGGGCGGCCCGGCCGAGCGGGGGAGCCGCGGUGUUCUAGAACCGGUGUCAGUUCUCGGGGGAGGGGGUGCGCAGGCAUCCUUCCCUCGCCCGCUCUGCUUUCGCCCGGAAACUAGCCGCGUCCCCCGCAGGGCCGAGCAAGGCAGCGGGCACGGCUGCGUUCUCCUUAGUUGUGUUUGUUGGCCUAAAAUUCCAAGAAGAAAGUCAGAGGAGCAACGGCUAACAGAUUUGCUGUUUGUUCUUUCCUCUUUCACACCCAAAUGUAGUCACUGCCGCCUGUGAACGAAAGGGCUGCGUCUCCAGGGGCCGUGGCCUCAGUGCCCCAGACAAAGCCGGGCUGGCGGUGAUAGGGGGUUGGGGGAGUUGGUUAGGGGUAGUGACCGGGGACCCCAGAGCCACCCUCUGGGAGGUCGGGGGUGAGGCCGGGCUCUGAGGCCUCCGGCAUCCAUGGAGCACCCAGGGCCUGGAGCUGGCAGGGCUGGGGGACAACGCAGGAACUGGGAGACCAGCCAGUUCCAACCGCUCCACAGGGCCACCUGGGCCAUUCCCUGCCUCCAGGAAGGAUCUGCCAGAGCCUGGAAGGAGAAAGGAUCUUCCCAGCGCUUCAGGACCCGGGUAGCAUCUCCCUGCUGGGGACUGUCCAUGUGGCCUUCUUGCUGGCAAUUCCACAGAUGGCGGAUCGGAACCACUCUGGAUCCUGCCAAUGCCCUGGCAGCUCUUUCUGCACCGAUUUUAAAUGGCCAAACUCUAUUUUUGUUUUGUUCCUUCCAGAUUUUGCUCUCAUCCCAAUCGAAAGAAACAUAAACUUUGUGAACAUUUUAGGACACUCUGUGGCAUACAAACAGAGUUAUUUUAACUGGGGAGCUGGAGCUGCCUUAAAAAAGCUUCUUGUUCCUUGCCUGAAGGCCUGAGCCAGGGGGAUUUGUCCUGUUCCUUUGGAGGAACAUUGGCUAGUACCGUUGUGGUAACAUGCGUGAAAGUACCCAAGCCAGGCACUGGGCUAGGAGUUCCAUCUCAUUCAUUCUUCACAGAGAGACUGUAAGGUGUCACCUCUGUGUUAUAAAAGACAACAUUAAGAACUUAAGCCACAUUGAGGGUAAGUAACUUUGUCCAGAGCUGAGUUUGAGUCUGGAACUCUGGGACCUCAAAUAUUUUCGCUUAACCACAGUGCUAUGCCACCUGCCUGGUGCUGUUACCUGGUGGGUGUUUAACCACGGGCUGAUUUCUGCCUCAUCUGCCCCACUAGCCACCUAGGUCUCAAAAGAGUCGUCUCAGGAUUAGUCUAGGUUGUCAGGCUGAAUCAGGACCUUUUGCAAAGUUUUUCUCUGUGAACUAGAGUUUAAACUUGCACACUUAGACUAGUAUAUCUCUGAAGUGUGUAUUUCCUUCCCAAACCAGUCUAAGACCAAGAGGAAUCAGAGUUACUAAUAAGCACCAAGAGAGAACUGUUAUCUUUCUUAUAAAAACUAAAAAGCUAAGAAAAACAAUCAUCAGUGUGAAGUCUCAAAAUGGUUAAUAUUUCUUUCAAAGAAAAAAUAAUAUUUACCCGAGCAUGCAGUUUUUGCAUGUUUCAUGACAAAGCUUGUUUCACGCUGAAAGAAAAAAAAAAUCACUCAGAAUGAAGCCAAUUUUAAUUUACACACACACAAAUUUAAGUAAGCAAGUAUUAAAGGAAUAAGGCCACCACACACAUAAAGCACUGUAUCUAUUUAUGUGUAUAUAAAUGCUUGUUGUGAUCUUUUUUUUCCUCUCAUAUAUCCAGAAAAUGUUUCUGUAGUCCUGACUCAUUUGGCCCUGGCGUCCUCUCCCACUUGCCCACCUACCAUGCUAUGUUCCCUGUGUGCCUUGAUUCUGGGUCCACCCAGCUAGCUCUGUUCCUACGGAAGUAAGGAAUGGCAAUGAGCCCACCAUUCUCCAUUCUUCCCUGUGUGCACCAAAAGAGAAUGGAAAUGAGCCCAAACUAUAGAAGCUGGUGGGGAAACACACGUCUUGUUCAGGUGUUGUCCCAGCUACAAGAGUAACACCAGGUCUCGGCCUCCAGUGGCUCCCCACUGCCUGCACCUGCAGAAAAGCCCAACUCCUCAGCCUAAUUUUUUUUUCAAUAUAUGAAGUUUAUUGUCAAAUUGGUUUCCAUACAGCACUCAGUGCUCAUCCCAAAAGGUGCCCUCCUCAAUACCCGUCACCCACCCUCCCCUCCCUCCCACCCCCCAUCAACCCUCAGUUCUCAGUUUUUAAGAGUCUCUUAUGCUUUGUCCUCAGCCUAAUAUUUGAGGAUACCUCCCUCCUCCUUCUCGUGUCCUUCCACUCCAUCCAUGAAUCUUUCAAGCAGGGCUCCAAAUCACCACUGAACUUGCUCAUUUAGAGGCAGCUCAAUGAUUUUCAGAGGUUCCUGGGUCUACUCUUCAUUCCCCAUGCAGCUGGCACAACUUACCCAGCUGCUGCAGUGGGCCUGUGGCCUUCACUUCCUGGCCUCAUGCUCAGACUGUGCCAGAACUAGCUCCUGGCCUCCUAUCCUGCACACCGUGCUGCCCCUACUAAGCUGUCUGCCGCCAUAGCCCUUCCUUGGUGGGCCUAAGCUUUCCCCCAGUUUCUUGAGACCUCCCAAGUCGUAGGUGGUCAGGCCACAAGUGAAGAGUUGUCCCAAACCACAGUGCCUGCCUCCUUCCUUGAUUUGUCGUGCUGCCGUGUCCCACCCAUCAAGCUACACUGCGCUUCCCCACCCAACCCCAUCUGCGUCCGUAACUCCCUCUGGGCCCAAGGCGCCUUCCUCCUGGCUGUCUCCAGAGGCCCUGUCUCCACAUCCCUCAGCGGCUGCCAGUGUCCUUGUCACUGGGUGUCCCUGUGUGCCUUGCCCAGAGUGUACAAAGUUACGCCCAGCAAUCCCGGGGGUUAACAGUGGUAUAGGAAUGAACUGGGGUGACAAUGUCACAUGUGUCAGAGCUUUGUAAAGUGCUAGGCAGACAAGAUCCUGGUAUUCCUGAUCCUGGAACCUCCCUCUCCCUCCCCCAUUGCCUGAUGCCCCUGAGUCUGCAUUCUGUCCAGGAGUCUCCUGUCUUCUCAGGGACCAGCCCACAGCCCAGCUCCCACUCCAGCACACAGUGCACCGAGGCCCCUCUGAGUUCCUAGAGCCCUCACUGUUGGCGUCAUUCUCAGUGGCAUUUCAUCAGACCCUGUUUGGUGAGCCACACUCAGGACAUCUGGCUCUGCUGCGAAAGAGUUGGGUGAAACUGACCCCUUGUUUGCCAGACUGUAAAAGAAGGGGCCAGACAAUACCUCUGGACCUGUCUUUCGGAUCUGAUGUUUUAUGUGUGUAGACUUUUUCCUUCUCUAAACUUUAUGCUUUUAAUCCCCAUCACAACCUAGAGCACAGUGCCAGGCUCACAGACACCCUAUAAAUGUUAUUUCUGGGUUGGUAACUGAAUAACGGGUUUGUCCUACUGAUGAGAUAAAGUGAUUUUUCACUUUGUGCUUUUUUUUAAUUAAAUUUUAAUUUAUUGUUUUCAUCAUGAUAACUGUAGUCUUUAAUCCCCAUCAACUAUU